AUUGAACGCUGGCGGCAGGCCUAACACAUGCAAGUCGAACGAGUGGCGGACGGGUGAGUAAUGUCUGGGAAACUGCCUGAUGGAGGGGGAUAACUACUGGAACCGGUAGCUAAUACCGCAUAACAUCAGAUGUGCCCCGAUGGGAUUAGCUAGUUGGUGGGGUAACGGCGCACAAAGGCGACGAUCCCUAGCUGGUCUGAGAGGAUGACCGGCCACACUGGAAAUGAGACACGGUCCAGACGCCUAAGGGAGGCAGCAGGUGGGAAUAUUGGACAAUGGACGAAAGUCUGAUCCAGCCAUGCCGCGUGUGUGAAGAAGGUCUUCGGAUUGUAAAGCACUUUAAGUUGGGAGGCGUUACCAACAGAAUAAGCAACGGCUAACUUCGUGCCAGCCGCCGCGGUAAUUC
rnacentral:rRNA from 1 species